rnacentral:piRNA from 1 species
UGAAGGUUCGCAAGUCUUCAACACCAG